rnacentral:misc_RNA from 1 species
AAGUCGUAACAAGGUUUCCGUAGGUGAACCUGCGGAAGGAUCAUUAAUUACUUUACUGUCAACCCCCCACUAAAAGGGGAGUUGUCGCUGCUCUGGGUCCGCCCGGCGGCCUCUUCGACAGAAGGAGUCGUCCGGCCCCCUUAGCACGUUGGUUACACCUUGUGCACAGUAAAAUUCUUUUACAGAGAGAAAAAGAAAAUUAGAGUGAAAGAAAAAAAUAUUUUUAUUUUGGGCCGAGUUUGUGCUUUUUUUGUCUCUCUCUAGAGAGGGGUAAAAAAAGUGUCGGCCCGAAUGAAUAGCUUUUUCCUCCUCUUUUCUUCUCGCCCCUCUCUAAAAAGUUAUAAACUUGAUUAAAAUAAAAUUUUUUGGCUGAAAAUAAAUUGAUUCAAUUUAUGAUAACUUUUAACAACGGAUCUCUUGGCUCUC